rnacentral:lncRNA from 1 species
AUCCCAUUUGAAUUUCAAUUCAAAUUGAGAUGAAGAGAUAAAAGCCCAUUUGUAUUUGAAGGGACUUAUCCCCAUGUGGAUGAGGAUAAGGGCUUCCACCCUGUUUGAAUUCAAAUGAAGGGAGAUUAGAUGAGGGCCACACCACAUCUGAUUUUUGUUUGACAAAAUGGCAUGAAGAAUGAGAGAGAGGGGGCACCACAUGCUAAGGAGUCCUGCUUUAAGUCAUUUGAUGACUUAAAGCCCUAAGAAUCUUAAGUUUCUAAAUCUAUAAAUAGGCACCCCUGCAAAAGGUUUAAAUGAUCAGAAAAUUCAGAACCUCUCCUCUCCUCUCCACGCCAUCUCUCUCUCCUCUCUACUCUCCUCCUCAUCUCCCAUGCCCAAAGGAAUUGGGCUGAUCCAUCUAGUGCACUCAUAGAAAUGGGGGUUGGUCGACCUAUGCGAAGGAAGAAGAAGGCUGCGAUCCAGAGUUGAUCGAGAUCCUAUCGAAAAUCUGAUCGAAGGUAGAUCCAAAAGCUUAUUGAUCCAUAUUAGUGAAGGUGGAUCGAAGUCAGAGAAAGUAUCCUAGUCCGAGCUCGAGUGGAUGCCUAUAGAGAUUGGACACAUGUGUGGCUUAACAGCGAACCUCAAUUCCACGAUCAUCGGACAGGAUGU